UGCAGGGGAAAAAUAAAAAUGGCUAUGCAAAUCAAAGCCAUGUCUUUAUUUCAGAUUCCUGUUUCCUGAACGUUCCUAGCCUAACACAAUGUGAAUCUCUGAAAGUUGUGAUGAAAAUCAAGGCAGGGAAAGAAAGGACCUUGCAAACAGCCUGAGCUAGUGAGAGAGAGGGGGAGAGAGAGAAAUAUCAGGGCUUUGUUUCCUUUCCCAGGCCAUGACAUGAUUAAUCGUUUUCUUCUGAUCUAAUUUUGGAACAUGAAAAACAGCACAUUUGUCUUGAAGAAAAAUGAUGUGCCGUACUGCGCAGAUGGAAAUUUCGAGCAAUGAAAAAGAUUAAAGUGAAAUUCCACUCCUUAGACCUAAUCAUGAGUUGUAGAUUAUUCUGUCGUUCUAACCAGAUGGUAGGCUUGAUUCCACAACCCCCUUCUUAUAUUAAUGAAUACUAGACUGUUAUAUUUGACUUAGGUAAGUGAAAUGUCUAUCAAGCCUAAUGGACUGCCAGCCAGCAUAACACAUGUUGUACCACUGAGGGUCCUUGCUGCAUUUUUCAUGUUUUAUACUAAUGUAGAACAUUUUGUUUCCUACUGUUUUCCAUCAUUGUCACUGUUUGCUAAAUAUUUUCACAUGUAGGGGGAAAAAAGUAAAAAACUUGUGUCCAGAGCUAAUUUCCUCACGUUGGUCGCAGCUAUAAUUCUACAAGUAAAACAGUCACCCGAAGCAAUGCAUACAAGAACUCAAUAGUAACUUGAUUAAGUUCCCAGUCAACAAGACUGCACUAGGCUGUAUGUUAACAAACCUAAUUAUAGGCAGCAUGGUGAUAAAUUGUGCAGGGUGCGUGUAGCACAUCUCUGAGGUCAUGUCUAGAAAAGAAGUUUUGCCCCAGGGGACAGGGAUGGGGUGUCAUUUCUAAAUAGAGUAAACACAGGUUCACUGAUGUUUCCCAUUGGGUUACCUUCCGCUUUCUGACAAAUGUUAUUCUAGCAGGGGUGUCCCAGACGAUCCUCAUGGGAACAGAAGAGUGAAGGAAGGGAGGAAUGGGAGGUUGGGGGAUUCUCUUUAACCUUUCCAACUGUGUAGUCCUGUGACUGUCAAGUAAUUUCUACCAAGUCUGGGCUCGCUAGAGUCAUGGUUAUGGAUAAUCAUACGUUAGGAUGGAUGCCACCACUUGGGCUCAGAAAGCCUGUUAUCAUUUUAAGCAUUUAGCUGAACAAAAUAAUACUUGUCAUGUGUGCUGAAUGUGAGAAUGGAUUGGGCUCUUACCCCUGCACAUAAAAUAAAAGGUAUAAAUCUCUGUUUUCUCCUCCUUCAAAAAGCGACACUCGGGCAGUUGUUGCAUCCCGCCUGUGCGUGAGUGCCUGCAGCCAGGGAGAAUGCUGCCAGGUAGAGGAAGCAUGUAUGCACAGACCUAAUUUUAGACAUUGAAAGAAUCAACAGGAUGCAUGGAUCAAGUUACUCUCUGCCUAGGAGAGAACAAGUCCAGAAACAUGAGAUUUCCCAGGGAUGACUGCAGCUUUAACAGAGUUCUUUGACCCACUGGAGAAGAGGGAUGGAUGGUGACUGUGCUGUAGCUAUCUGCCUCCUUGUCUUUCUGGAAGAGCACAUACAGCCUUUCUGAUCUGCCAUGGGAUGCUGCUUUGCUGUAACUUCAACUGAUGGCAAAUGAUGGGACCAGGAAAUAAAGGUCUGCUCUCAGCACUCAGUAACGCUACCCAGGAGGGCAGGACCUUGAAUACACAGAACGUCUAGCCAGGUUUGGAAAAGGUUACCUACAACAGACUCAGUAAGUUGUUUAUCAGUUUCUACAUGUCUGGCCUGCAUCUGAGUGCUCAGAAUUGGAGUGCUUGUACUUAGGUUUCAAAUCAGUAUGCCCAGGUAAGCCUCAUGGCUCUGAAUCCGCAUGACGUUAACUUUCUGAAAGCAAGAAUCUGUGGCUCCUAGCAUUUCUUGAGAAGAUUGCCUAUGCAUGUGAUGGAUCCCCUUCUAAAGAAGCCAUCUGUAGAAGGCUCUUGCAUACUAGCUUCAUGCACCUCUUUGGCUGCCUGCCUUCCUUUGGAGAAGAUGACUCGGUUCACCCCUCUGACCUGAGGCUCAUUUCAUCAGACUCCGAAGCCAUUCCUGCCUGGGCAGACUGACUACCUCUGGUGGGGCCAGGGGCGAGGGAGAAGGAAGGAGCACCCUCUUAUCUGAACUGCAAAACCAUUGCUUACAAUAGUUUUCAUGAGGGGUGACAAGUCUCUUCUUUCUUCAGAAUGUUUAUUUCCAUUUUACACAUGCUCCCAACUUCCCUCCCUCCUUGCACUUUUCUCGCUUUUGUACCCUGCAACUUUCAUCAGUUUGUUUCUUUCCUUUCAGAUGUGCUCAAGGCGCAGCAAGAGUUGAUACAAUCUAAUACAAACUUCCCUGUUUGCUGUAUCAUAAAAUGUAGUGCCUGGUGUGUUCAUUCCCCUCCUGUCAUCAAGUGCCAGCUACAGCAGUGUUUAGUACCUCCAGGUUCUUCCUGCUGUCAUUUUCACUUCCCCCCAAGGACUAAACAUUUAAAAACCAAGAAAUCCUAACUGAGAUCCUAAGUAACACUUGAACCACGCUGAUCUUAGGUAAACAGUUCCCAGAGUGUUACCAUUCCUGAUGUUGAAAGAGCAGAUCAGUGAAAGAAAAGAAUGUGCAUACAGAUUCUUGGUAAUCAGACAGCCAGCUAAUUUCUCAAUAUUGAAAGAUUCCUUUUGAAGCCAUUAAUUUUGUUUACAUUUCAACUGACACACAA